rnacentral:lncRNA from 1 species
ACCUACAGAAUGGGAGAAAAUACUUGUAAAUUAUAUAUCUGAUAAGGGAUUAAUAUCCAGAAUAUAUAAAUAACUACAAUUUAACAAAAAGUCGAAUUAAAAAUGGGCAGAGCAGUUACUAAUUUCUCCAAAGAAGAUACACGAGUGGCUAACAUUUUGAAAAGAGGCUCAAAAUCAUUAGCCAUCAGGGCAAUGCAAAUUAAAACCAUGAUGAGGUAACACUUCACACUUACUAGGAUGGCUCUAAUUUUUAAAAAGUGGAAAAUAAGUGUUGGCAAGGAUAGAAAUCAGAAACCAGAAUGCACUGCUGGUGGGAAUGUAAAAUGGUGCAGCCACUGUGGAAAACAGUUCAGCACCCCCUCAAAGAGCUAAACAUAAAAUUACCAUAUGACCCCUCAAUUCUACUUUUAGAUUUAUAGUCAAAAGAUUUGAAAGUAGGGACUUAAACAGAUAUUUACAUGCUCAUAUUAAUUGCAGCAUUAUUCACAGUAGCCAAAACUUGGAAACAACCCAAGAGUCCAUUGACAAGUGAAUGGAUGAAGAAAAUGCGUCAUAUAUGGGACAGUGGCCAUAUAUUGCCAUAAAAGGAAUGGAGUUUUGAUACAACAUGGUGAGACUUGCAGAUGUUAUGCUAAGUGAAAUAAAUAGACACAAAAGGACAAAUAUACAAAUAUAUGUUCCACUUACAUGAAAUACUCAGAGAAAACCAUGUUCUGAGCUAUGGACUUUUAUACCUGGAUGUCUAAUCUGAGGCCAUCAAAAGAACUCACUCAUAGAUCAGUUUGCCUCAUUUCAUGGUCUGCCUUGGAUUCCCCCACACCCACUGAUCCAAAGUCUGUGGAAUAGGGAGGCACCUUCCAGCAAAGAAGGCAGACAUGAAAGUGUACAUUGUGAUCUCUCUGUUACGAAGUUGAAGAACUGGCCAAACUGAUGUAUGUUAAUAGGAAUCAAAACAGGGGCUGCGUGUGGAGGGGUGGACGAUGUUAUUUGAAAAGUUACAGGACAGAUUUUCUGUGUUAAUGGACAUGAGCCAUACAUUGAGAGGGCUGCUGGCUACUGAAAGAAAUAUAAAAUUUUAAAAUUUCUGAAAUCAUGCAGUUAACAUCUGCACACUUCACUAUAUUUUAAGUUUUUGUUAAUAUAAAAGAAUAAGAAAACAGAAAAGUAUUACUGUUAAACAAUAAUAGAGAAAUGUAUACUUUAUUUACAAAUUUCUCCCUCUAGCUGAUCAUACAGUUGACCAGUUCAGGGUGCCCGCUGCUGGUUGGAUGCCAGGCGGAAUGUCAGGGUGUUCUCUGGUGUCUGUUGUGGCUGUGGGAUCCACGGUUACUGGGCGGAGCCCUGUGGUGGCUGUGGUGCCAUGGAGGGGCUGCGAUCUUCUGUGGAGCUGGACCCUGAGCUGACUCCAGGGAAGCUGGAUGAGGAGAUGGUGGGGCUGCCACCCCAUGACGCGAGUCCUCAAGUCACUUUCCACAGCCUCGAUGGGAAGACAGUGGUGUGUCCACACUUCAUGGGCUUACUGCUGGGUCUCUUACUUUUAUUGACUUUGUCUGUUAGGAACCAACUCUGUGUAAGAGGUGAAAGGCAGCUUGCAGAAACACUGCAUUCACAGGUGAAGGAGAAAUCCCAGCUCAUUGGCAAGAAAACAGAUUGUAGAGACUGAGGCAUCUUUAAAAGAUGUCAGGGUACAGAAAAAGUCUUUCAACACCCCCGGCUUUGUAGAUGCCUACAAGAAGGUGAAUAGCACCAACGAGAUGCUGAUGGAGAAAUUUACCACCCUCGUUCAAGAACUGAAAGAAGAGACAUCCUCCAGACUCUCCAGGCAACAAGAGGAGCUGGUAGAGAUGCUAACAACGCUGGAGGCCCUGGGAGAGGCCAUGAGAGCCACCCCGUCACAAGGAGCUUUUCCACACCUGCCAUGCAGCUGAGAGCCAAGCCCUGCUGCUCUCUCCCCCACGAGGGGGCUGGGUCUUAGAGCAGCACUGUUCUUUUCCCCUCCACCCAGGCCUCCCGAGCUGCCAGGCUCUGUGCUCCCACACUGACUCCAUCUGAGGGGUCCUUGAGGCCAGUGGAUCUGGAGUACCCCGCCCCUGGCCUGGAGUUCCUCCUCCUUCUCACGCUGACACUGCAGCCAGCUCCUCAAUGGGCGGUGCCUCCAAAUCUAAAGAAUAUGGAGGUCCUGGAGCACACCAAGAAAUGAGGGACUUUUUCUUUGCAGAAAGUUUGAAUUCUGUCUUAAUGAGACAGAAUGCCAUACUUGAGCACCUCAUCUUUUGCUCAAAUUGAAAUGUCAUCGAACUGUAUUUCUCAAGUCAAUGGUCUGUAAAUAUGAUUUAUGUAUUAAUCUCCUAAGUGAACAAUUUAUAUUUUAUCCUCUACAUAAUUAUCGUAUUAUGCUUUAAAUAUAUAUUUAGUUUAUCAAUAAAGACAUUCAGUACUCAA